rnacentral:rRNA from 1 species
NNNUGCGAUCAUAGCGGACCCCUUAAGUUAUGCUACUGUAUCAGAACUCCGAAGUUAAGCGUGCUUGGGCGAGAGUAGUACUAGGAUGGGUGACCUCCUGGGAAGUCCUCGGGUUGCAUUUC